rnacentral:rRNA from 1 species
GACGAACGCUGACGGCGUGCUUAACACAUGCAAGUCGAACGAAGUGGCGAACGGGUGAGUAACGCGUAAUCAACCUGCCCUUCAGAGGGGGACAACAGUUGGAAACGACUGCUAAUACCGCAUACUGAAGGAGGGGAUUGCGUCUGAUUAGCUAGUGGGCGGGGUAACGGCCCACCUAGGCGAUGAUCAGUAGCCGGGCUGGGAGGGUGGACGGGCACAUUGGGACUGAGACACGGCCCAGACUGCUACGGGAGGCAGCAGUGGGGAAUCGUCCGCAAUGGACGAAAGUCUGACGGAGCAACGCCGCGGGAGUGAUGACGGCCUUCGGGUUGUAAAGCUCUGUUAAUCGGGACGCGGUACCGGAGUAGAAAGCCACGGCUAACUACGUGCCAGCAGCCGCGGUAAUUC